UACAGAGGGGGCAAGCGUUGUUCGGAAUUACUGGGCGUAAAGGGCGCGUAGGCGGCCUGUUAAGUCGAACGUGAAAUCCCCGGGCUCAACCCGGGAACUGCGUCCGAUACUGGCAGGCUUGAAUCCGGGAGAGGGAUGUGGAAUUCCAGGUGUAGCGGUGAAAUGCGUAGAUAUCUGGAGGAACACCGGUGGCGAAGGCGGCAUCCUGGACCGACAUUGACGCUGAGGCGCGAAAGCCAGGGGAGCAAACGGG
rnacentral:rRNA from 1 species